GAUGAACGCUGGCGGCGUGCCUAAUACAUGCAAGUCGAGCGAACAGACGAGGAGCUUGCUCCUCUGACGUUAGCGGCGGACGGGUGAGUAACACGUGGAUAACCUACCUAUAAGACUGGGAUAACUUCGGGAAACCGGAGCUAAUACCGGAUAAUAUAUUGAACCGCAUGGUUCAAUAGUGAAAGACGGUUUUGCUGUCACUUAUAGAUGGAUCCGCGCCGCAUUAGCUAGUUGGUAAGGUAACGGCUUACCAAGGCAACGAUGCGUAGCCGACCUGAGAGGCUGAUCGGCCACACUGGAACUUAGCCACGGUCCAGACUCCUACGGGAGGCCGCAGUAGGGAAUCUUCCGCAAUGGGCGAAAGCUUGACGGAGCAACGCCGCGUGAGUUAUGAAGGUCUUCGGAUCGUAAAACUCUGUUAUUAGUGAAGAACAAAUGUGUAAGUAACUAUGCACGUCUUGACGGUACCUAAUCAGAAAGCCACGGCUAACUACGUG
rnacentral:rRNA from 1 species